UACGUAGGGGGCAAGCGUUAUCCGGAUUUACUGGGUGUAAAGGGAGCGUAGACGGCAACGCAAGUCUGGAGUGAAAUCCCAUGGCUUAACCAUGGAACUGCUUUGGAAACCGUGCAGCUGGAGUGCAGGAGAGGUAAGCGGAAUUCCUAGUGUAGCGGUGAAAUGCGUAGAUAUUAGGAGGAACACCAGUGGCGAAGGCGGCUUACUGGACUGUAACUGACGUUGAGGCUCGAAAGCGUGGGGAGCAAACAGG
rnacentral:rRNA from 1 species